rnacentral:lncRNA from 1 species
UCGGUGAUAAAUGAAGAAUGGAAACUGUCUUUCUUGCUUAAAUCUUGAGCGACUUUUUCAAAUCACUAAAUAAAUAACAUAUGCUGAUGCAGUAUUGUAUCCAAAAUAUUUUGAAUUUGUCCCAACAACUCUUUAUUUAAUGAAAGUCAUAGAAUAACUAACUUCAUCACCUUCAUAACAUUAAUUGAUGAAGUGUGCCAGCAAAAAGUAUGAUGGUCUAACCUAUAGCAAGCUUCUGUGUGAAAUUGAAGAUGAUAUUAAAACAUAGACAUUGAUAUCUUAACAAAUUUAGAGUGAUAUGUAUUGAUUUUUGUUUUACUAUAUAGAAAUUGGAAUAUACAGAUGCAACAUUGAAAGUUGAAAAGAGGCAAAAAGUGUUUCUACCACUAUCACAGACAAUCAGCAAAAACAUUAGAGAGAUUCAACAUUGAAAGCAUGAAAACAAAGAGAACGAAAAAAACACAUCAGAAGAGGGAGAUGAUACUUCCCAGCCUGAAAGAGAAAGAAAUCACAGAGAGUUUGAAAUGAUAAUUUGAUUCCAAAAGAAUGGAAUAAAUUCUCAAACUUUUGCAUCUUUCUUCUAUAACUAAUCAGGCGGGGAGGGGCGGGACGGGGAGGGGAAGGGAUUAGAGUUCUCAUUAUAAACAACUUAAAAGUACCUAUUUCAAGAAAGACAUUAUAAUGUCUUUUGUGAAAUCUGCGGGACAUGAUCAAUAGUAUUAUCAAAAUGAAGCAUCAUAAACCGCCAAGUAGUAUAUAAGAGACUCCAAGAAUCUGGUUGCGGAUACAUUCUUGAAAGCAUCACAUAUAUUAUAUAGUUUUCUCAAGUUCAUCCGUCAGUAGUAAUGUGAUUAUAUUCAAAUAUUGUCUCACUGCUGUCAUAAAUUACCUCUGUAUGAAACGUGCAAUUGAAUCCCAACAUGGAGCAAACAAAUACUGAUUUUCACGUGUCAAUGCUUGAUUUCUCCGCUCUUGUCCUAACCUUUUCCAGUACAUUAACUGGAACAGUUUUCAUCUCACGAAAGCCUUGUAUGAUGUAUGUCUAACUUAUUUCUUCCUGGGUCAUCUUGUCAAGUUGUCACGUCAACUCCCAUUUAGUUAUCUGCUAAAAGAAAGCAAUAAUUUAAAACUGCUUAGGAAUUAGCUUUCAAUUCAUCAUGAAUUUACAAAAGGAUACAUAGAACGGGCCAACAUGUUAUUUUGUUUACACCAUGUUAUUUUGUUUAGUUAAAUAUGUAGUAAAGAUCAAGUGUGCUUAUUUACUCUUCAAAAUAUUACACCAUGGCUACUAUGACAACAUCUAAAAAAUUAUAUUAUGUGCAUCAUAGUCUCUUAGUUAUAAUUACAUACACUUUCAAUGUUGGGGAUCUAAACACAUCUUCUAUUACUGAUGCAAGCUUUUUCAUCUAUCCCCUCGUUUGAAAUCAUAAAAUUCACGCGAUGGGAACUUUUGUAUAUUGUCUAUCACUCUAGAAGGAAAUUCUACAAAUGUAAAUUAAUUAGAGGUUGUAGCUCAGAAACACCUAAGGCGUAAAAUUUACUUGCAUGAGAGCAUUGAAAAAGACAGAAUAAAAUAUAUCUUGAACUGAAAAAAAUAAUACAGUGGUAUCAAUUAAUUAGUAGCCUCCUUUUAGGUAUGGUUAGCUCUUUUUUAUCUUACGGUCAUGGGUUACCCCAACCAUAGGAAGAGAGGAUUCAUCAUGUCCGUAAAUACAUUCUUGAUUUUGUUCUCUUGUUACCUCUAUUUGUGGGUUUCAUUAUGUCUACAACACCAGAAAAAUUGAUAAAAAGAAAGCGUCAGAGAAGGUAAAUUUACCUUGGCUUAAAAUGGGAGUACCUGAAAGUAUAAUAAUUAGAACAGUUAUAUGAUCCAAGUGCUUCUAAAAAAGUAGAUCACCAACUUUUUGAGCUACUAAAGGCUAUUUUUAUGUAACACCAAGGAUAAACUGAUAACUUUGCAAUAAAAGGAUAAGAUUAGCAUGAGAAAUUCUAGCUCAAAUGGUCGUUACAAUACCAUUACACUCAUUACACUAUGUAGGGGGUUACUAUGCUAGAAACAUUUUUUCUUAAAUCUUAAUUUUAAGUUGCUGAAUGAAAGAUCCAAAAAAAAUUGGCGUUGGGUGAGAAUGUGAUCAUAUUUGUGUAAUUGGUCAUAUAGUAAAUAAUUAUUUUUGGAUGAAGCUAAUCUACUAAAAAUACAAAAUGAAACAUACCUCAAACUAAAAAAGAAAUUAACAGAGUGACAUCAAUUAAUUAGCUGCCUCCUCCUAUGUAUGGUUGACUCUUCUUGAUUAUGCAGUCAUGGGCUAACUCGUCCGUAGAAAGAGGGGGCUUCAGCAUGCCCGUAAAUGAAUUAUUGAUUUUGAUCUCUGGUAAUAUAUGUUUGUGGGUUUCAUAAUGUCUACAGCACCUGAAAAUCUGAUUUAAAAAAAAAUUAAAAAGAAGAAAAGUGACAGAAGAAGAUUAACUCACCUUGCUUGCUUGAGAUGGGGAACCUGCAAGUAUGAGUAUUCAGAAAAGUUAAAUGAACCAGUGCUGCUUAAAAAGUAGACUACCAACAUUUUUAAAGAAGCAAGACUAUUUUUAUACAAUACUAAAGAUAAACUUAUAUAUUUUCCAUUGAGGAUAUGAUUAGCAUGCAAAAUUGAUCUCAACCGGAGGGAAAGAAAAUAAAAGUAUAAAUUAGCUACACAUGAAGUUAUGCUAAUGCAAUGCAGAAUAUUACUUGGUUGUGCAAACUUUUUUUGUUGUAGAUACAUACAUAUAAAAAAGCCAAAUAAAUAAAGCAUCUUAUCCAUAAAUAAAACAUCUUGUCCUAAAGAUAUUCAUCAAGAGAGAGGAAAAUCUUAUACAACAGACAAUUAGUUAGUUGGAUAACGAAACUUAUGAUGACUACAAUUUUAGACAGUUAGAAGAACGGAUAAUUAUUAUAAAACAGAAGGAAAAAACCAUAUACAUCAUACGAUUAGUUACAAGGAUUUUCAGCAUGCUCUCAAAAUGGAAGGAACUGUGGAACUCGCUCUAUGUAAACAAAGUCCAACCACCAUGUACCUCAUUUAAUUUGUCCUUUUAUUGAUUUAUCUGUAUCAGUUUAAGAGUUUGACUAAAUAAGAUAAGUACACACAACAGACCCUCAUUGUCAUUCUUCUGAAUUAGCGAAAUAGAAAAUCUCGAAAACUAUUCUGCUAAUCUUUAACUACAUCCUAGAGAUAUGAGCAUGAAAUAACUUUAAGAUCAAAAUCUCACAUGAAAGGGGAAAAGGGCAAUAAAGAACUUACCAGGCGAAGACUCAGAAACUCUGAGUGCGCAUAUCUCAUAAGGUUGACAACCAGAUUAGUCGAGAUUUUUUAUGAGAGUAACAUCAAGGUGUAGAAGUUCAUUUAGUUCAAUUGAUUAAGUUGACUUGCAACAUGUGGUGUAGUUAUUACACUCGAGAAGGAUCAUAUUUCCUAAGUCCUAGUUGGUGCCUUAUGCACUGGGCAUCUCUAUAAUUUUACGAUAAUUAUUGAAGUAAUUUUCAAGAACCUAAAAUGGUAGUAUACUUUUAUUAACAUUCAAUGCAAAUCAAAGUACACCAAAUCAUCAAGAGAAUAAGUGUCACACCAUUUGGUUUCACAUCUUAUUAUGCUCUAGGGGAUCGGAAUUUCUGCAAAAACAUAUAUAAGUAUUGGAGAAUCAUAAUGAUAAUACCACACAUAAAUUGAUCACAAAUACAGUUCAGUAGAAGAAAAUGUUGUACCUUGUAGAUGGGAAUUUUGAAGAACACCUAUGAGAAAAGGGAAAAAAAUACAAGAAAUUAUUCAGUUGACUCAGGCAUAUGAUCAAACACUUUGGGUGCGCAACUUUACUUCGUUUACUUCAAUGUCACAUCAUCACCAAAGAACUUAGGUGAAAAAAUACCAAAAAAGAAAGAAAGAAAUGAAGUAGGUACCUCAUCACAGAGCAAACUUCUUAAGAAGCAAAGAAAAUAAAAACAUAACUAAAAUCAGAAUAUACAUGUCGAGGACCAUUCAAC